GACGAACGCUGGCGGCGUGCUUAACACAUGCAAGUCGAACGGAAAGGCCCUGCUUUUGUGGGGUGCUCGAGUGGCGAACGGGUGAGUAACACGUGAGUAACCUGCCCUUGACUGUGGGAUAACUUCAGGAAACUGGGGCUAAUACCGGAUAGGAGCUCCUGCAGCACGGGGGGGGUUGGAAAGUUUCGGCGGUUGGGGAUGGACUCGCGGCUUAUCAGCUUGUUGGUGGGGUAGUGGCUUACCAAGGGUUUGACGGGUAGCCGGCCUGGGAGGGUGACCGGCCACAUUGGUACUGCGAUACGGCCCAGUCUCCUACGGGAGGCAGCAGUGGGGAAUAUUGCACAAUGGGCGGAAGCCUGAUGCAGCAACGCCGCGUGCGGGAUGACGGCCUUCGGGUUGUAAACCGCUGUCGCCUGUGACGAGGCGGGAGUGACGGUAAUGGGUAAAGAAGCACCGGCUAACUACGUG
rnacentral:rRNA from 1 species